rnacentral:lncRNA from 1 species
UCGCUACCUAUUUUUGGCAUUGCACAAGGUCAUGUUUUUUCUCGUCUGUUCACUUAAUUCAUUGGAUGUUGGAUGUGUACUAAAUGACAUCGUAGUCUUUGAUUCUUUUUUUGUAUUUGUUGUUAUUGGCUUUGAACUAGCUUUCGGUAAUUCCAGUAAUCCCAAAUCUGUAUACAUGGUAUCUUUUUGUUGUUAGGGAUGAGGAAUGGAUAAAUACCCUGCCACGUCCGAUCUGUGUUUUUGUUUGAUAUUUUCUGCUUUGUAUCGAUCUGAUGUUCAGUCUUUUUCAACCGAUUUCAUAGUUUGUUCUUAUGUUGUGCUGGUACCAACCGUUCAAGGUUAUGGUAGGGUUGAACACUCACAAAAAUGUUGAAUCCCAUCUCAUUCUUUGUGUGCCUGUCCCAAGUCAGGAUGCUGUAGUUAAGUGGUUUUCAUUUGUUCAUGACUGGCAUAUGUGUUCUUCGUAAAUUGUUUUGUUGUAAAUAAGAACGUGAUUUUUCUCACUUAAACUGUAAGUUUCAUAUUUUACAUGUUCCAGUGGGGCAUUUUAAAGCCGACUAUACGGACAUAUAUAUAACAUACUAUUCACGUAUGUCACAAGAAAGACAACUCGAUACUUGUUUUUCAACAACUAAUUCGUCAGGUCGGUAAAAAAUACGCAUUUAAGACUAUAU